UAAGAAUUGAAGUGAAAGCAAAGCUCAGAUUUGAAUAUGCUUGUAUCAGAACGCUGUUGUUACCUGGCCACUAGUGCUGAAACUUCAGUGGGAAAAGUGUUGCGGGUGGCUAUGAUCCUACUUCAUUGAACUCAGCUGUUUAUAAUUUUCACAACAAAUUUCAGUGGAAAAAGUCAUUAGAAAUGAAGAUGUAGGUGAGAGAUGUGAAAAAACACAAAGAAUGUACUACUUUGAGACGGUGUCACACUAAUGUAGUAUUGUUCUAGUGAUUUUAUUGAGGAUACAGAGACAAAUAUACUCUUCUUUGUGUAAGUUCUAGCUUACAAUCAUCCCUGUCUUGAGAUUUUUUCCAGUUGGUUCCUAAGUAGGAAAUAUGGAAAGGAUAAAGCCAUAUUAACUCAUCUGAAGCAGUGCUGCCAAUAUUUACUGCUUGUGUUAUCCAGCUCACCUUCUGAGUCAUCUAAUAGUAACUUGAUCUUUGAGGAGUGGUGCGGGAUCGACUCAAUAAAUGUACCAGUUGUUGAGGGGGAGAGAGGAAUCAGGAACAGUGAGUGCAGUCGUCUAAAUAUUGAGAAAAAUGGUUUGUCAAACUGUUUUUAUGUAUCUACAAGGUAUCAACAGAUGAAUAAUUGCCAGCGUGGGCUUGUCAAGAAUAAAUAAUCACAAACUAAGUUUAAUUUCUCUAUGUUAAAAUAGCAGAACCUGCAAGUAGAACCAGAGGAGUAGCUGCCAUUUGCUUUGACUUUACUUAAAGGCCUUAAUUAGUCUUCUGUGAUAUUUUCACAAGUAAUGCAGAGAAGUGUGGUCUAGGAGAAACUUAGGUACAGUAAGUGCAAAAAUGGUUGGAUUAGUUUUGCUAUUAAUUGUUAAUGACUUUCUCUCAAAAUGAAAAGAUACAUUUAAUAGAGUUUCUUUGGAAACCUGCCUGGAGUCUUGUUCUUCUUUCUGUUUUUUACCUAAUGAUCUUGGUGACAGAGAAUAGCUGGGAUCAUUGUGCAGAUAACACAGAACAGGGCAGGGGCUGUACAGGAGAACAAGGUCACAUUCCAAAAUGAUCCUGAAAAGCUGGAAGAAUAAUCUGCAAACCAAUAGAUGAAUCUCAGUGGAGAUAAGGAAACAUUUACUUCUGGUAAAUCAUAGCAGUCCUCCAAAAAAAGAUUAUUUUGAUGCAUUAUGCAUUAUUUUGAUUUGAUAGCACUUUACUGAUCAGAGGGUGAUCCUUCCACUGGAAUCUAUGGAUAAGAGUGUAGCUGGUAAAAUGAGCGGAGUCAGCCUUGUCUUCAGUCAGUGUUAUGGGGGACUCUGCUGGAGCAGUGGACUCCACAUGAGCAUCCCCUUCCAGGGAAGGCUGGGACUCCUCAGAGUCUGGACAAAGGCUGUCUGGGUGAACAGAAGUGUAGAGAACAUCCCUGGGAGAAAGAGUAAACGUUCAGUUCUUCAGUCUGCAGAGAAGACGACGUAGGCACUCUAAUAUGUAAAAGGCUGUCGCAGGAAAAAUAGAGACAUAGUCUGUUGUGCCAGCAGUGACCAUGAUAAGUAAUGUAAGGGUUCAGAAUGCUAGGAGUUACUCAAAGGAAAUCUUAGAAAGAACUUUCUGAAAGUCAGAUUCAUGGAGUAGUGAAACAUUUGAUGAGGUUUUGAAUUUUUAUCAUCGCAGGGCUUUGACGAGCUGAUUAAACAAAUCUGUAGCUAUAGUUUUUUCCCAUACUUGGGAGUAUUGUGGAAAUGUAUUAAAAAUUAUAUUUGUUUUAGAAAAAUAGAGAUUAAGGAAACUUGUGGAUGCAUGGCUGUAUGGAAUGGGCAUAUUAUAACUUCAGCAGUUAUUUGUAUGUACUACUCUGCAUUAAUUGAUCUUCCUUGAGAAGGAAAAGGGAACUUUUUCUUCAUGGUAACAAAAAAAAAAAAAAAAAAGUUUGUUCAGUCUGUAAAAUCUUUUUUCUUUCAGGAAGAUUCUUACCAUAUUGGAUUUGAAUGGAUUCAGAUGUAAUAUAUGUGAUUCAAGAGACAUUUUAUUUUGAAAUACCUUUUUAUUUAAUGCUAGGAAGUUACAUUUUAGCAGUUGAUGACUUCAGAUUAAUUUUUGACUAUGUGUUAGUGCUUGUUAGCUUUCAAGCAGAAGUCUGUCACUCACCUUUCUCUGAUUUCAACUUUAAGAGAAAAUGGCUGUCAUAUUAUUCUUCUAGCACUCAUUACUUUCUCCAUUCCAUUGGGGGUGGCUGUCUGUGUUUUUGCUGUAAUCCAUAUAUACAGAAAAAAGCUCCAUAUAGCUUAAUUAAAAAAUUCAUUGCCAUUUUGUUUGAAAAAAAGCUAAACAGUGCAUUAAGCUGAAUUGUCCAUUACAUUUCUAUUUAAGACAUUGUAAUUACAUGAAAGAUAGCAUUACCAGUAAGAACAAAAUUUAUCAUAGGAGAGUGCUAAUGCAUUUAGAUGCAAUGAGAGUAGUUUUAAUUAUUGUACAUUUAGGAUCGAUAUGCCCAGGGCAAUAAACUUUACAACAACAUACGAAGGUUUAAUAAGCAUGAAACAUAAGAACAAUGUAGGCUAAACCUUCCAUGCAUCUGAAAAGCUGAAAUGCAAAGAAGUUUUUAUUUAUUGCCUCAGGUAAAAAAAAGUCUGCAGACACAGAUAAGUGAUGACAAAGCUUUGAUGUUAAUAAACCCAAAUGGAAGUCAAAAAUCAAAGUGUGUAAACGGCUUGGUUAUAGAAAGAAAGAUGACAGAGUUAUACCCUGUAAUUAGGUGUAAUUUGUGCUUUUGGCACAGCUAUUUGUCCUGCAUGAAUAAGAGGUUGUCUUAUGUUUUCUUGUCCCUGUAUAAUAGAAUUGCAUUACAGGCACAUCCCACUUCAAACCUCCCUUGAUUUUUUUUUUUCCCAAGAACUAUUUGAAAGGAGUGUGCAUGUUGCUUCCUUUUUAUGUGAGUGUUGCAGUCAGCUUGCCAUUUCUGGUACUUGAAAAUAAUCAUGAGCUCAGUGCUUAUAAAACACUUGCAGUAAGAAACAGAGUAAUAAUUCUAGUAAAAUGCAACCAACUCACAAAAUGAGUUUCUGCCCUGAGUAUAAAUCAGAGAUGCUUGCAUGUUAUACAAGUAAAUUACAUCAAAACUGGAAAAUUAAUAAUCCAGUUUUAAUUAUUUAAUGAGUUGUUCUGUUCAACAGCUGCAUAAUUGGUAGUCUCAUCCAUAUUUUAAACUGUUGUGGAACAAAUUGCUGUUAAUUUUAUUUAGUUGAUUCCUGUCUUCGUUUUAUGAUGUCUAUGCACGAGACAUCAAUUUUUCAGUGCUGAAACCUAUUUUGCAACCAUCUUUCUGUCACGCACUGUGAAUAUUUAAACAGAAAUAAUUCAUUGUACUUUCCGUGUUACAAAGAAGCUGAAAAGAUCUGUUGAGUCAGAGAAAAGUGCUAAUUUACGUAUGGCUAUAUAUCUAUACAGGUAUCACUUCUUAAACUUCCCUCUUAAGGGAUAAUUUCCAUAUUUUUAAGCAUGCUAAAUUGUCUGUGCCUUUAAUGGAACUACCACAUGGUUGGCUACUGAGACAUGGGUUUAAUCUCUGCUGUGAAGUUCACAGUUGUCAUUUGAUGAGAUGUGAAAUCCCCUGCCAGAGCACCUUUUGCUUGGCCACAUUACACGUUUGAGGUUGUAAAUCCAUUAUGUGCAAUGUGAGAAUCGACUGCUCCAGCAGUGCAAAGCCACUUGCCCAAGCUCAUUUUCCUCACAGUCAUGAAAAUGCAUGAAACAAAAUUAAAAUUAAAAAAAAAUCCUUAUUUUUAUCUUUACUUGAAUAUGAUUUUCCUCUUUUUGCAGUGUCUACUGCUUUUUACUUGAAAUUUGAGCCUGCCACGUUCAAGAAAUUCCCAAAUGUGACCAUGCCUGUGAACACUGUGGAGUGGUUACAUGUCAGUUAUCCCUGGUGGCACGAGGUGACAUUCUGCCUCCUGGAUGUGUCCUGUCUUCUAUUAGAUCCUUACAAGGAUGUAUGCUUAUAUUAUGGUGCUUAAAACUGUCCAUUUCUUUUUCCUUGUCUUUUCAGUUAUGAAGCUUUUUUGCAUGAAUUCGACUUUGGAGGACAAACUCCCGGGUGGGGAAGGUUGCCCUUUCUUGUUUCAGGCAUUUCCUUUCUGUUUGGGUUGAGCAGGCUGCAGUUUCCCUUCUGGUGAUGUCUGUUCAUUCAGAAGUGAGGCAUUCCUUCCUCCCAGCCCAGCACCAUCCCUGCAUUCUUACAUGCCUCUCUUUCUCCCACUGUCAUACCCAGUCCAGGAACUGCCUUGGGCUACACUGGGGAAGAGGAUUUGCCAAGUCUGUAAGUAUUUCUGCUGUUGAAGGAAUAAUCUUCUUGUUACAAAACCAGUUAUGUAAGUAUUUAAUUUCAAAGGUCACAUUUGGUAAGCUAAAGUGGUUGGCUAAAAUUUCUGGAAGCCUACAUGAGGUAUUAAAUUAAAAAAAAAAAAAAAAAAAAAAAAAAGGGCAAAUCCCCAAACUGUAUUUAAACUGUUGCCCAUGCUGUCAGAACUUAAAAUUAGCUUCAGAAGAUUUAAGUGAAAUCUGAUACUUUUUGAUAUGAUUCUACUGAAGUAAUUUCACAUCUUAUUUUGAGACUGAAUGGGAUUCAGUAGGAUUCCAACAAACAUAGAGAGUGAAUGUUAUAGGAGUACAGCUUCCAGGAGAAAUUCAGUAACAGUGCAGUGACCUGGUGGUUACAACUCUAGGUGCUUGUAGACGGAUUGUCCGCAUCGCUACAGGAUUUCUGCAGCCUUAAAAUAUGAAGAAUUCAGACAUUAUAUGCUGUGUAUAUUCAACAGGUGCCAAAAGGGUACAUUUUUUCUAUCUCAUCUGCAAAACCACUCUGUCCUUUAAAUGCAUUCUGAUAAUUUUUGAUAGUAUUUUGUUGGUGACACAGAGAUGAGUAUUUGUCAUACAGUCUCCAGUCUGAUCUCCAGGAGAACCCUAAGAGUAAUACAUGCCGAUCAGUUACUUAAAGGCUUUUUGUUUUCCUCUUUUCUCCCACUGAGACACGCUUUUUGAUUUGAUCUGUAGCUUUAAGCUGUGUUUUCUAUCUGCAGUGGAAUGAAAAGAUUUGAUCUGUACUUCUCUGCUAAGUCAAGUGGGAGAUCUGUGCUCCAAUUGGUUUAGCUCAUUAUCUUUUUUCCUGCUAACAUUGUGAGCUAAGCAUUCCCAGACAGACUUGUUUAAAUCUGUUUCUUGGGCUCAGAUAUAUGGUAACAAUUGUCUCUAUUCUUGAUGUGCCAGUGCUUGUUAAGAAUUAACACGAUUUUGGAGUUACUGGCACCACUCUUUCCUAGCAAGUUGACAACUCAUGUGCAGCUAUCAAAAUCAAGGCUGAAUUUUCUGAAGCCUGCCAUCUGUAAUCAUGGAAACGUACUUUAGCUUAGGGGCUGGUAUUUCCCUCUCAGUGUUUCUGAUCAUUAUUUGCUUUCCUCUUUCACUUCCACAUUAUAAUAAUUUAAAACCUUUCUAGAUCUGUGUCAGCAGAGGCUCUUGCUCAGGUUCAGUUUUCACCUGAUGGACAGAAACAGAAGGACAUGGAGUACAUCUCCAGAUGCAGCAUUCACGUUCCUUCUGCUAACUUUUCCCUACUGGUAGGAUAAACAGAAUCAUUGAAGGACUACAGAAUCAGAAUAUGUAUUUCUUUAAAGAGGGUGUUGUUUCUGCUAUUUCAUCCAAACAAAAUGAACAAUUAUUUUCUAAUAGAAUUAUGACCAUAAGCCAAAAUGUAGAAUGCCUCAUUUUACUGAUUUGUACCACCGAGUUCCUCAUACUUGUGUUUAAUAAAUGUUUGUUUUGGUACCAAAGUGCACAUUGCAGUUUUUACCACCCUUCAUUCCUAACUUUAAUAAAAGUUUGUUUUGCCUUUUUUUUUUUCCUGUAAAUCUCACGCAAACAUUUUGAAAAUUGUCAAAAGAAAUCCACCGUAGCCUUAAAAAUCAAUUCUGCAAAGGUGAUUGAGUUUGUGCUUUUCUUUUAAAGAUCAAACUUCCUGUAAUACUUCCCAUAUAAUCCCUGUGUAGUUAAAUAGCCCAGCAGUCAUAACAUGCUUGAAAUGUAUGCAAAGCAUCGGCCCAAAGUUUAACUCUUAAUAACAGAAGGAUCAAAGGACAUGAUUCCUUUUAAAUAAAACAUGAUACAGACAUAAAUGUUAGUCUGAGUGAAAGGCUUUGAAAGCAUGCAUUUUGGAUAUUUUAUAUGUAGAUUAAAAUCAGUUUGCCUUGUCUCGGACAGAGAAAGAAAUCUCGCACACCUUCGUCAUUCUGAAACCAAUGCUGUCAUCUCAGUUUGUGCACUGAUUUAUGGCUCUGAUGGAGGAUGAUGGCUCUCAGGGAGGCAAUCUGUGGUAUGCUUCUUGCUUCCUUGUGUACAAAAAUAAAGCGUGCGUGCUCAGAAAUGUGCUUUGAUGUCUUAAAAAGAGACACUGGUAACAGAACAAUCUUGUACAUUUGUAACUUGCCGUGUAACUUGGAAUUAUUAAGUAAACAUUCUUUGAAAGUAACUGUGUUGCUGUAGGGUACUGAAAAUAAUGGGAGCUGCAAUAUCCUAGUCAUAAUUUGAGUGAAUUAUGAAGACAGGUCAGUGGCUUUUUUUCUGUCCUGAAAUUUGUCUUUAAAAAGCCAGUUGUGUGGUCUUACACAGCUGACUUCUGCUCUUCAGAGCCUCCCACUGGGAUGAACCAAAUCACAGAAGUGUUUGAAGAAGCUGCCUGGCACCAGUGUCCUUUUGUGGUUCAAUUUAAAAGGGGGAUGCUGUGUUUAUAGCAAAUUUAUGUCCGCUUUUCCCAAGCUAUUGUUCUGAAAUGUCAAAUUAUAAAAUAACCUCUGCUGUGGUGAUGUGUAUUUUGUCUCAGUUCUUAAAGAUUUUACAUCUGAAAGUUUUCCCCGUCAUUAAAUAUAAUAUCUUUACUUUCACGUGCUAAUGCACUGCACCAUUUAUGCUUUAGUGUUUCAAUUAAAUACUUGCUAUCCAACAUUUAAAAAGAACACUUUAAUUGUUGAGGACAGGAACAAAUUCACACAGCAUGUAUGUUAACUGUAGUGUUGAAUCAUAGAAUCAUAGAAUGACCUGGGCUGAAAAGGCCCUCGAAGAUCAUCUAGUUUCAAUCCCCCUGCUAUGUGCAGGGUCACUACCCACCAGACCAGGCUGCCCAGAGACACAGCCUGGCCUUGAAUGCCUUCAGAGAUGGGACAUCCACAACCUCCUUGGGCAACCUGUUCCAGUGUGUCAUCAGCCUCUGUGUUGCUGACAUGCAAAAUAUGUUUUUCUCUAUUUUACAGAAGAAUACACUGUAUGUGCAAUGUGUUUGAUCGCUAGGUUUUGUAGCUCUUGUUCCACCAGAGCACACUCUAUUAGCCUUAUAAAUAGGGAUGGUAUGGGAAGAGAUCUAACAAUGUCCACAUGCAAAAUAUUUGCAAGGAGGGGAGAAGUGGAUGUGAAUUGUUGGAGUUCUUCAUAUGAUGUGAUGCUCUGUUUUUAUACAUUUGCAAGGAAAUGAUCUUGUCUGUCAGGCACAUGACUCUGAUUCUAACUUCAUUUUUUAAUUUUCUGAGCUGAAACUUUGAUGUUCAGUCUUCCUUAUGUAGUAACAAUCAUACUUCACUGCUGUUUAACUUAGCUUCCUAUAUUCUUCAGGGUCAAGGACAGUACUUGUGAUUUUUAUUACUGUGUGUAUUACUAUAUGAUUACUAUGUGAUUUUUAAUUUUCUCCCCCAGUUGCAGAACACCACCACAUCACCGUCAUCUGUUGGCGUGCUUGCAGCAGGGAGGUGCCUUGGCUGCUCCAGCCCUGCCCCAUUGCUGGAGCUGGCAGCCACCCAGCUUGCAGGUGAUCUCUGUAACUGGGAUCCAGGGCUCAGAAAGCCCUCAGAGAUACGUGCGUGAGGAGGGGCCUUGUUACUUCUUACUGGAUCUCUUAUGAUCAGAUGAAAGCUUGGCUCAGCAGCCCCUGGGAGGCUUUUUCCCUUGUUUUAUAACCAGAAUUUUCUCUCUUAGGGCUGUUACAGGAAUAGAUUUUAUAUUCCUGUUCAUAAAUUUGGAGAAACUGAAAAUGGCAAGAGACCUUCAGUCAUAGAUGAAGAAGCAUAUUGUGCAACUAAUUGCUUGAGGAGUUGAAUUAAUAAAAUGGAAACACAUUGCAGUGUUUCUGAUAUGCGGGAUUUGCCUGCAUCUUCUGUGUGCUGCUGGUGGGCCGAGUUCAGCUCCCUUUCAUGGGACAAGGGCAGUGAUCAAAGCAGGGCCUGCAGGGCCUGUAAAAUCUGUUAUCCUGCAGCAAUUGAAACCAUGAGCAUGGGAACAUUGUAGUUAAAUCUCACUCAUCAGCUGCAUGAGCAAAUUUUCCCAUGUUCUGCAUGCAAGAGUUGCAGAGGAGUUCCUGAAGAAUCAUGGAAUAGAUUCAUUUGAGUUGGAGGGGACCCUUAAAGGUCAUGUAGUCCAACCGCCCUGCAUUAACUGCAGUGAAUAUCUGUAAACACAGAACCCAUGAGGUACAAAACCCACAGAGUUGUACAGCUCCAAAUCGUUGCUUGCAAGGAGUAUGUUCAUUAUAUUGCUGUUCAUGAAGUUCAGUCUUGUUUGGAGUUGAAAAAUAUGAAUCUUUCAAGCAGAAUAUUGCACUCAUUUGAUGUUCUUUUUAAUAAAUCAUGCAAUUAUCAAUUAGCUACACUAAUUGAAUAAUGGGAGAUUAAUUCAUUGUUCAUUCUUAGGUCUUUUGAAGCUGUUCAAACACUCUAGGUUUCUUAAUAUUACUUUUAGUAAUGGAAACUAAAUUAGUCCCAGAAACACCCACCAAUUUAGCAUGUUAUAGGUAAAACAUACAAAAAAGAGAGAUUCCGUGUUUAGCGUAACAGACGAAUGUAAAUUUACCUUCUUUUAGCCUUGGUGAAGGGCAUUCUCCUUAGCAUCUUGGCACAGUAUGUUCCAGUUUUCCAGCAGGGAAAAAAAGGUGAAGUGACUUUUCUUCAGCUACCAAUGACUGCCCACUUGGAGCAGUAUGAAACUUCAGGUCACUCCAGGUAAAUGUCUGUGAACCAACAUCAGCUGGGUUUAACUUCACCUUCCUCACGAAGUGGAGCAGAGUAAUGCUUCACAAUGAGGCCACUAAAACUUGGGUUAUUCCAACAACACCUACAUCAUUCCCAUAUCUAAAUGAAUUACUAUAUCACAAAUUAUUUUAAUCUGAGUUAUAAUCAGCCCAUCCUGUUAUAUUUGGAAUAUCCAUAGAAUAAGCUUUUAUGGUGCUGAUUAGGCUGUGCUGUUAUCUGACAUACACUAUUUUCUUUUCUCACUGCCUUUUCAGGCUAUUUUCUUCCCCAAAAUACUUCUCACUAGCUGUUUUUGGACUAACAAGUUAAAUAUCUGAUUCACUUUGAACAUAGCUAGUGUCUUAAAAUAACAUUACCUUGGAAUUGGAUAUAUUCUUUCUCUUAUUUAAAAAAUAAUAAUUAUAAGGAGUAACUCAAGAUACAGUUCUAUGAAUUUCAGGCUUGUUUUCCUCACCAGCCGAAGAAGGCUGGAGGAAUAGCUGUUGAAUUUCUGUUGUUUUCAGCAUCUGCAAUUGCAAAUGGAAGUGAAGGCAAUUCUAUGUGCUCUGUUUGAAAACACACACGUUAAAAAAAAAAAAAAAAAAAAGUUAGUUGAAUUUGCAAGAUUACAAAAUACUAUGCAGAUAAAGUGUUUUGUAUACAGAAAGUUGAGGAAAGACUUUAGAAAAUGAUAGGCUAGAUCCCUUAGUUUCCUGAGUAGGAAGAUGUGUGAAGAAUGAGCAUAGCACAGGGCCUGGGUGUUCUGAAGGGUUGUUCAGAUAAUGUGUAAUUUGAAACCAUUGCAUUUGUAUUCUCAGAGAAAUCCAGAGGUAAUCAGAACUUCUAAUACAAUGAGUUUUGUUAUAUGUAUUAGAGAAAAGGAGUAAGAGCCCUUAAAAGUGCUUUGAAGUUUUGCUUGCACGCAGCAUAGCACCAUAAUAGCCAUCAGGUGUAAUCUGGACGAAAGAGACUUUGAUCUUCUUGUCUUGCUGGAGUGGGCCACGUUUUGAGGCAAGAUUCCAGCAAACAGAUGCACAGAUUGGGGAUUAGCUUCAGAUUUACCUUCAGUUUGUGCUUUCUUAUUUCGUUUUGUGCCUUGUAAUCGUGUUGCUAGUUUUGUUACUGAAGAUUUAACUCUUUGCUAAAAUAACAUUCAUGCUUUUCUGCCUUUUUUGCACAGCAAUUUAGUAACAAAAUUGUUCUUAGAGGAGCAUAAUGCAUCAGUGGUGAUGUAUCAGAGUCUCUUCAGAGUAGAAAUGUUGCUGUAGCUGCCUGACCCACUGUUUAUCUGCUAAGUGCUGUAUUCAGAACUCAGGAAACUGAUAUUCACAUUCUCAGCAGUCAUGCUUGUGAUUGAAUCUGUCACAAACUGACUGUUGUUAUUCUUCUGCGGAGUGAAUUUUCCUUUUCCAGUGUGUGAGAAACAUUUGCUUUCCUUUUUUUCUGCCUUAAAAUAUUUGAGUAAUGAGCUGCCAGCUGUCGUACGUUAUGUACUCUCCUACAUCAAGAGUUCCCAGAAUUCGUACCAAGAGAAAUUCAGAUGCUGGUGGCCUCAGGAGGAGCUUCUGGUUUUGUCCUGCCUUUCAAACUCAAGUGCUGUGCUUACCUGGAUCAGCUGAUGACUGGUAGCUGCUCACUUGCACAAAGCUCAAUCUGUGCACUUCACAUUGUCCUGCAGCAGCUUGUGCUGCUCAGGUUGGGCCCUUCAGUGCCUUCGGAUAAAGUUAUUUGAAAUAAAAUAUGAAAGCUGUA